rnacentral:tRNA from 1 species
GGGGAUUUAGCUCAGUGGCAUAAGCACCUGCCUUGCAAGCAGGAAGUCGUGAGUUCAAUCUCUG